rnacentral:rRNA from 1 species
CCUACGGGGGGCUGCAGUGGGGAAUCUUGCGCAAUGGGGGAAACCCUGACGCAGCGACGCCGCGUGGGCGACGAAGGCCUUCGGGUUGUAAAGCCCUGUGGGGCGGGACGAACCGCCGAGGAGCGAAUAUCUCUUCGGUCUGACGGUACCGCCUUAGCAAGCACCGGCUAACUCUGUGCCAGCAGCCGCGGUAAGACAGAGGGUGCGAACGUUGCUCGGAAUUACUGGGCGUAAAGCGCGUGUAGGCGGCCUCGCGAGUCGGGUGUGAAAGCCCG